rnacentral:rRNA from 1 species
CCCUUAGAUGUUCUGGGCCGCACGCGCGCUACACUGAUCAGUGCAACAAGCAUCCGUCCUUGGCCGACAGGCCCGGGCAAUCUUUGAACGCUGAUCGUGAUGGGGAUAGACUUUUGCAAUUUUUGGUCUUCAACGAGGAAUUCCUAGUAAACGCAAGUCAUCAACUUGCAUUGAUUACGUCCCUGCCCUUUGUACACACCGCCCGUCGCACCUACCGAUUGAAUGGUCCGGUGAAGCCUCCGGAUUGGCGCGCACCUCGGUGCCGCCGAGAAGUUGGCUAAACCUUACCAUUUAGAGGAAGGUGAANUCGUANCA